AGCGAACGCUGGCGGCAGGCUUAACACAUGCAAGUCGAACGGGCAUCUUCGGAUGUCAGUGGCAGACGGGUGAGUAACACGUGGGAACGUACCCUUCGGUUCGGAAUAACUCAGGGAAACUUGAGCUAAUACCGGAUACGCCCUUUUGGGGAAAGGUUUACUGCCGAAGGAUCGGCCCGCGUCUGAUUAGCUUGUUGGUGGGGUAACGGCCUACCAAGGCGACGAUCAGUAGCUGGUCUGAGAGGAUGAUCAGCCACACUGGGACUGAGACACGGCCCAGACUCCUACGGGAGGCAGCAGUGGGGAAUAUUGGACAAUGGGCGCAAGCCUGAUCCAGUCAUGCCGCGUGAGUGAUGAAGGCCUUAGGGUUGUAAAGCUCUUUUGUCCGGGACGAUAAUGACGGUACCGGAAGAAUAAGCCCCGGCUAACUUCGUG
rnacentral:rRNA from 1 species